rnacentral:rRNA from 1 species
AUAUCAAUAAGCGGAGGAAAAGAAACCAACAGGGAUUGCCUCAGUAACGGCGAGUGAAGCGGCAACAGCUCAAAUUUGAAAUCUGGCUGCUUUAGUCCGAGUUGUAAUUUGUAGAGGAUGCUUCUAGGCGUAGCGACCGGUCUAAGUUCCUUGGAACAGGACGUCAUAGAGGGUGAGAAUCCCGUAUGUGAUCGGUGCCCUUGCAUCGUGAAGCUCCUUCGACGAGUCGAGUUGUUUGGGAAUGCAGCUCUAAAUGGGAGGUAAAUUUCUUCUAAAGCUAAAUACUGGCCAGAGACCGAUAGCGCACAAGUAGAGUGAUCGAAAGAUGAAAAGCACUUUGGAAAGAGAGUCUAAAAAGCUA